rnacentral:lncRNA from 1 species
UUGGACUUGAUCCAAAAAUAAUUACUCAAUCAAUGGGCAAUCGGGUAUCAAAGUCCAUCGAUAUGAAAUCUUGAUCGAAGAGUCCCAAACCAGUGGGACUCUUGACCCUGAUACCCAAAAUAUGUGGAACUCAUGAUCAGAGAAUCUUGAUUCUCGAUCACAGAAUCUCAGACAUGUAGGACUCUUCACCAGCCAUCAGAUCAGAUAGGAAUCUCUAAUGUGUGUGACCCUGCAGGUUCGAACCUAAGCCGGUAGCACAGAAACCAAUUCCUGUACUAUUCGAAGUGACCAUCUAGCAAUGGUACCGGAUGUCCGGAUAGGUCGAAUAGUCACAAUCGCAACACUCAGAACCUACAUGAAUAUGGUUACUAUAUAAUUCAUCCCUUUUGACCACUAUGUUUAGGACGACUCAGGGUUAAAUUGUCAACUCUGAUUAGAUCAUCCGAAUCGUGCUCAACUCAAACAGUCCUGUGACUCCUCACUAGGACUACCCUGGCCAAGGUUUUGCUAAAUUGAAACACGAC